rnacentral:rRNA from 1 species
GGGGAAGAUAUAAAGUGGCGCACGGGUGAGUAACACGUAGGUAAUCUACCUUUGAGUGGGGAAUAACAAUCGGAAACGAUUGCUAAUACCGCAUAAUGCAGCGGCACCUUAUGGUGACAGUUGUUAAAGGAGCAAUCCGCUUAAAGAGGAGCCUGCGGCAGAUUAGCUUGUUGGUAAGGUAAUGGCUUACCAAGGCUACGAUCUGUAACCGACCUGAGAGGGUGGUCGGUCACACUGACACUGAAUAACGGGUCAGACUCCUACGGGAGGCAGCAGUCGGGAAUUUUGGGCAAUGGGCGAAAGCCUGACCCAGCAACGCCGCGUGAAGGAUGAAGUCUUUCGGGAUGUAAACUUCGUAAGAAUGGGAAGAAUAAAUGACGGUACCAUUUGUAAGGUCCGGCUAACUACGUGCCAGCAGCCGCGGUAAUACGUAGGGACCAAGCGUUGUUCGGAUUUACUGGGCGUAAAGGGCGCGUAGGCGGCGAAUCAAGUCAGCUGUGAAAUCUCCGAGCUUAACUCGGAACGGUCAGCUGAUACUGUUUUGCUAGAGUGCAGAAAGGGCAACCGGAAUUCUUGGGUGUAGCGGUGAAAUGCGUAGAUAUCAAGAGGAACACCUGAGGCGAAGGCGGGUUGCUAGGCUGACACUGACGCUGAAGCGCGAAAGCUAGGGUAGCAAACGGGAUUAGAUACCCCGGUAGUCCUAGCCCUAACGAUGUAUGCUUUGGUGUCUGGAGUUUUUAUCUUCUGGGUGCCGUCGCUAACGCUUU